GCUGGGUGUGGUGGUGGGCACCUGUAAUCCCAGCUACUUGGGAGGCUGAGACAGGAGAAUCACUUGAACCUGGGAGUCGGAGGUUGCAGUGAGCCAAGACAGCGCCACUGCAUUCCAGCCUAGGCAACAGAGUGAGACUCUGUCUCAA
rnacentral:SRP_RNA from 1 species